GGGCCCGCACAAGCGGUGGAGCAUGUGGUUUAAUUCGAUGCAACGCGAAGAACCUUACCGGGUCUUGACAUCCAACGAAUCUGGUGGAAACACCGGAGUGCUCUUCGGAGAACGUUGAGACAGGUGGUGCAUGGUUGUCGUCAGCUCGUGUCGUGAGAUGUUGGGUUAAGUCCCGCAACGAGCGCAACCCCUGCUGUUAGUUGCUAACAGGUAAAGCUGAGCACUCUAGCAGGACUGCCGGUGACAAACCGGAGGAAGGUGGGGAUGACGUCAAAUCAUCAUGCCCUUUAUGAUCCGGGCUACACACGUGCUACAAUGGCCGGUACAGAGAGAAGCGAAGCCGCGAGGUGGAGCAAAUCUCAGAAAGCCGGUCACAGUUCGGAUUGCAGGCUGCAACUCGCCUGCAUGAAGGCGGAAUCGCUAGUAAUCGCGAAUCAGCACGUCGCGGUGAAUGCGUUCCCGGGCCUU
rnacentral:rRNA from 1 species